rnacentral:lncRNA from 1 species
UAGUAAAUUUUGCUUACCCCCUUUGGUAUAAUGUAGCCAGAUAGAACGAGGUCCUUAUCAGUGAUACGGGCGUUUGCAUUGGCGGCUGGCAUCAACCUGUUCAAAAAUGAACUUUAAGGUACGGUAAACUGUUUAGCGCGCUGGCAGUGGCGGUACUUCCUUUAGGUCCGACAACGGAAAAAAUUUCUUGCCUCAACUUCUCCUGUUUUUCUGGAUUUCUCGCCAAUGUCUACUCCGGCCAUCAACAUGUCUAUAACCAUUGUGACGACAUCGCUGGGUUCCAUUCCGCGCACAAGCAGCUGUUCAAGAAUGCUUAAAUAGGAAUCGAACGAGCUUCCUUUCAAGGCCUCCACCGUCUGGCUGAUGUUAAGCGCUCGCUAAUCUAAAUCAACUCACUCUGUCAAGAAAUCUUGGGCAUCGUAGAGUUUUUGCAGCAUCGGAGUCACGAAGAACUUCCAGAACGGAAAGUUGUGCUCCAGAUCGUUGAUGGCAUCAAACGAGAAGUUGGCGGCAUUUAUCAAUUUUUGUGCCUCCGAAUCUGGAGCUAAAUCCGGUCGGAGGCAACCUAGCCGAGUAUUCAAUCCAACCACACCGACAGCUGAAAAACGUUCCAAAAUUCCAAACGUUUGCUGGGUUUUCGACCGUGUCUGCCACCAAGCGUCGCCACUUGAGAGCAAAAUACCGGCGGAGGUGAAGUCUUUGAUCCGUUGGGCACGAUAGGCUUUAAUCGUAUCCAUACCCGGACGCACCGGAUGCUUUCCUUCUGUUUUAAAUAAUCUUUUUUUUUUUUUUUUCAGAAAGAAACAGAUAGUUAGCUAUUGUAUCAAGUUCUUUAUGAAUUCAAAAAGUUAAAAACUAAAGUACUUUUCAACAUCUUCUGGUCUGGCAGUAUAGACGAUGGGUGGUCUUCCAGGAACGAUAUCUCUCCAGAUGUAUCCGAAUUGCUUAAAGCGAAGCUUUUGCAAUUCAAGCAUUCUACUGAUGGGAAUUCCAUCUCCUGCAGGGCACAAGUUAGUUUUUGAAAUUUUAGCGAUUCAUAAAAAGGAAGGGAAAAGAGGGGUUUCUUACCGAUAUGAGGAAACAUGCCCCAAGUAGUACCGAUGAUUGGUAAAACCCGAAGUCCCGGCACCUGAUCAAAUGGUUUAGCGUUAUCAAAUUCGGUUGCGCUCAUUCUUUUAGACAUGCGUGGCUAUUUCGUGAUGAGGGGAUGACCAGACACAGCCGUUGUAAGCGUCUGAAAGGUUAUGUCUGUAAGAUAAGAUGAUCCACGUGUCAAUUAGAACGAACCAAUAACUACACUGCUGCUAGUCGUUAUCGCAGCUAUUAUACGAGUUAUUUUGGUUGGACUAUAAUCAUCCUAACAGAAAUGGUAGUUAUCUAACACUUGAUAUUUGCCUUCUGAAUUAGGACGGAUAUGGGCCUAUCUAUAGCAUAAGAUCCAUUUCCAAAGUUCUAUAUCUGUAACCAUCACGACUUGAACCUAAAGUGCCCGUUAUUGUCCCUAAAUUAGUAACGACCACUCCUUGUAGCUACAGGUGUUGUGACGGCUGGGUACUGGUGGUAAGUGAACUUCUAUCGUAACGAGAUUAGUAAUCACGCCUAGAUUAACCGUUCGCUGUUUGUUUGGGUUUCACUUUGUAUAAAUAGUCGAUGCUAUCUUUUUACGUUUAACAACCAUUAGUUUCAUGAUUUGGAAAAAAAACGGUUAUUUGGAAAUUGCAGUCUAUCGGUAUACGGGCGAAAAAUUUAACUUGCUGAUCUCCAUUAUGGUUUAGCAUUUAAACAAUUUCCAGCUUUACCACUACUCUGGUAAAAAAAUCAAUGAAUGCCUACUUUUAAUUAUGGAUCAAAGACAAAGAACAUUUGGAACUAGCAAGACAAACAAGCUGGAAAAUAGCAUCAGACAUUACCAAUUUACGAUGACGUUCCAGUCAAACUGUACGUGACAGGUCUUAAGGCAAAUUAACAAGCACUUCAACAAAUAAGAUUGUAUUACCCCGAAAUUUUCGUGAAAUGGGGAGUUUUUCCCUUAAUUUUUCUUUUAGAGGAAUACGAUGUCGGUGACCUUGUCUCUACCCAGAAAAAACAAAAGUGUAGACUUUUCCUUUUGCAAGAAAAGGUUUUCCUUACUCUCCCUCUGGAAGAAAUCGCUGGCUACGCCCCUGUCGCAAACUAUUUUGAAUUGAGAAGUCUGUCUAGUCUAGACAAACUACAUAUCUCAACCGCGUUCCAUGCGCUGAAGAAAGAAAAGAAACGAAUGAUCCUGACAGUUCCAGCAUUAUAUCUGAAAUGCUGAAUCUCGUGAUGAUCGUUAGUGGAAAACAAUCGGACAUUUCAAAUUGUGCGUUACGGUGAUGACACGAUUUCGCUAGUGCAAUACAAGAAGUGAAAUUCCAUUACGGUUUGCUCGCUAUCCCUAACUAGUGUAACGUUAUUGAAGAACUAUGCAAGACAAACUAAAAGGAGUUUUUUUUUUUUUAAAUACCAUGUUAGAAAAUUCGCAAGCAAGGCAAGAAAUGAACAGAAAGUCAGCAACGCGACACCAGCAAAAACAGAUGGAAUGAAUUUUAGAGACAUCUAGCCAUAAUAAUUUCUUUAAUAGAGAGGAUAUGGGAUAACGUUAGGCCACAAAACUCUAAUUCCCUGUCCACAAAAGCGAGGAUCUUGUCCGUAAAGGAUGAAUGAAAUAUUAGCAAUUUAAUUUUUUUUUUUUUAGUGACUCAGACUUUCUGAGGGACUUUAUAGUGAUUUGAACGCAACUUUGCAAAAUAGAGAUUAAGUACGGUAAAUGUUUUACGAAUGUCAUGGCCUACAAUUC